CCUACGGGAGGCAGCAGUGGGGAAUAUUGCACAAUGGGGGAAACCCUGAUGCAGCGACGCCGCGUGAGUGAAGAAGUAAUUCGUUAUGUAAAGCUCUAUCAGCAGGGAAGUAAAUGACGGUACCUGAGUAAGAAGCCCCGGCUAACUACGUGCCAGCAGCCGCGGUAAUACGGAGGGGGCAAGCGUUAUCCGGAUUUACUGGGUGUAAAGGGAGCGUAGACGGCAGUGCAAGUCUGGAGUGAAAGGCGGGGGCUCAACCCCCGGACUGCUCUGGAAACUGUACGGCUUGAGUGCAGGUGAGGUAGGUGGAAUUCGUAGUGUAGCGGUGAAAUGCGUAGAUAUUAGGAGGAACACCAGUGGCGAAGGCAGCUUACUAAACUGUAACUGACAUUGAGGCUCGAAAGCGUGGGGAGCAAACAGGAUUAGAUACCCCAGUAGUC
rnacentral:rRNA from 1 species